rnacentral:rRNA from 1 species
UACAGAGGGGGCAAGCGUUGUUCGGAAUUACUGGGCGUAAAGGGCAUGCAGGCGGUCGGACGCGUUUCGGGUGACAGCGGGUGGCUUAACUACCCGAGUGGUCGAAAGACGGUUUGACUUGAGGACGCGAGAGGGACACGGAAUUCCGGGUGGAGUGGUGAAAUGCGUAGAGAUCCGGAGGAACACCGAAGGCGAAGGCAGUGUCCUGGCGCGUAACUGACGCUGAGGUGCCGAAAGCCAGGGAGCGGAACGGG